UUUUUUCGAAUUCCGUAUGAGUACGUAGGCAAUGUUUUUACAGCAGGGUCCCGACGUUAAUAUUUUCAAACGAUUUUCGCCGGACGAAUAAAUUUCUAAUAACAGUGGCGCGUUUACGACUUGUUUUCAGAAUUGAUUAACACAGUUUAGUUUUAACCGACAUACCGAACCCGCCAACACCAUAGAGAUCGUGUACUUCGGAAGGCUAUAUUUUUUGGGAAAAUAUUUGUUCGGAACCGUAUUUAUGUGGAAAGUAUAUUUUGGGAAAUAAAUCAUUGGGAACGUAUUUUGUGGAUGAAUGAGGGGGGAAUUAAAAUCCCCAGUUACCCUCUCCCUCACCCCUUCUCCGUAAAUACGCCAACGGAUAUGUCGUCUGGUGCUUAGAUUAUAUUAAUACUCG